GGAGGAUCCGAGCGUUAUCCGGAUUUAUUGGGUUUAAAGGGAGCGUAGGUGGACUGGUAAGUCAGUUGUGAAAGUUUGCGGCUCAACCGUAAAAUUGCAGUUGAUACUGUCAGUCUUGAGUACAGUAGAGGUGGGCGGAAUUCGUGGUGUAGCGGUGAAAUGCUUAGAUAUCACGAAGAACUCCGAUUGCGAAGGCAGCUCACUGGACUGCAACUGACACUGAUGCUCGAAAGUGUGGGUAUCAAACAGGAUUAGAUACCCUGGUAGUCCACACAGUAAACGAUGAAUACUCGCUGUUUGCGAUAUACAGUAAGCGGCCAAGCGAAAGCAUUAAGUAUUCCACCUGGGGAGUACGCCGGCAACGGUG
rnacentral:rRNA from 2 species